rnacentral:rRNA from 1 species
CGCCUCUUGUUAAUAAUAAGAGGUCCAGCCUGCCCAGUGACAAAGUUCAACGGCCGCGGUACCCUAACCGAGCGAAGGUAGCAUAAUCACUUGUUCUUUAAAUAAGGACUUGUAUCAAUGGCACCACGAGGGUCGUACUGUCUCCUUUCUCCAAUCAGUGAAACUGAUCUUCCCGUGAAAAAGCGGGAAUACAUAUAUAAGACGAGAAGACCCCAUGGAGCUUUAAACCUCUAGCAACUUAACUAUAAAUUUCUUCACAGCCCCAAAGAAAUGCUUGUUGGUUUUAGGUUGGGGUGACCACGGAGUAAAAACCAACCUCCGCAACGCAUAAACCUAAAUUUUUAUUUAAGAGCCACAACUCUAAAAAAUAGUAUACUAACGUACACUGAUCCGAUAAUCGAUUAAUGAACCAAGUUACCCUGGGGAUAACAGCGCAAUCUAUUUUAAGAGUUCAUAUCGACAAAUAGGCUUACGACCUCGAUGUUGGAUCAGGGUAUCCCAGUGGUGCAGCCGCUACUGAUGGUUCGUUUGUUCAACGAUUAAAACCCUACGUGAUCU